CACGUAGGGCGCAAGCGUUGUCCGGAAUCAUUGGGCGUAAAGGGCGCGUAGGUGGCGGGACAAGCGUGCGGUGAAAGCCUGGGGCUCAACCCCGGGUCGGCCGUGCGAACUGUUUUGCUUGAGCACUGUAGAGGCAGGCGGAAUUCCGGGUGUAGCGGUGGAAUGCGUAGAGAUCCGGAAGAACACCGAUGCGAAGGCAGCUUACUAUGGUGUCAAUGACGCUGAGGCACGAAAGCGUGGGGAUCAAACAGG
rnacentral:rRNA from 1 species